UGGUGGAGUGAUUUGUCUGGUUAAUUCCGAUAACGAACGAGACCUCAGCCUACUAAUUAGUUAUGCGAAUCUUUACGCUUGGGAGACGGUCGGUGCGCGGGCAACUGAACGCCGGACGGAUCCUGUUCUGAUUUGUAGUUAACUUCUUAGAGGGACACUUGGUGUCUAACCAAGGGAAGUUUGAGGCAAUAACA
rnacentral:rRNA from 1 species